rnacentral:rRNA from 1 species
AUUGAACGCUGGGCGGCAUGCCUUACACAUGCAAGUCGAACGGCAGCACGGGGCAACCUGGUGGCGAGUGGCGAACGGGUGAGUAAUGCAUCGGAACGUACCUUUCAGUGGGGGAUAACGUAGCGAAAGUUACGCUAAUACCGCAUAUUCUGUGAGCAGGAAAGCAGGGGAUCGCAAGACCUUGCGCUGAUUGAGCGGCCGAUGUCAGAUUAGCUAGUUGGUGAGGUAAAGGCUCACCAAGGCGACGAUCUGUAGCGGGUCUGAGAGGAUGAUCCGCCACACUGGAACUGGGACGCGGUCCAGACGCCUACGGGAGGCAGCAGUGGGGAAUUUUGGACAAUGGGGGAAACCCUGAUCCAGCCAUGCCGCGUGAGUGAAGAAGGCCUUCGGGUUGUAAAGCUCUUUCGGCCGGGAAGAAAUCGCACGGGCUAAUACCCUGUGUGGAUGACGGUACCGGAAUAAGAAGCACCGGCUAACUACGUGCCAGCCGCCGCAGUAAAAC